rnacentral:rRNA from 1 species
AUCUCUGUAGAGUCUGCAUAUCAAUAAGCGGAGGAAAAGAAACUAACAAGGAUUCCCCUAGUAACGGCGAGUGAAGCGGGAAGAGCUCAAAUUUGAAAUCUUCAAGGUUUGACCUUGACGAAUUGUAGUUUAAAGAAGUGUUUUCGGUUAGAGGAGUAGUAAAAGUUCUUUGGAAUAGGACAUCAUAGAGGGUGAGAAUCCCGUAUUUGACUAUUCUUUCUAGCUUUGUGAUACACUUUCAAAGAGUCGGAUUGUUUGGGAAUGCAGUCCAAAAUGGGUGGUAAAUUUCACCUAAAGCUAAAUAUUGGCGAGAGACCGAUAGCGAACAAGUACCGUGAGGGAAAGAUGAAAAGAACUUUGAAAAGAGAGUUAAACAGUACGUGAAAUUGUCAAAAGGGAAGCGUUUGACACCAGUGUUGUUUUUCCGAAAAUCAAUUAAAAAUUGAUUCAUGCCAGGUUGUAUUGACCUUAUCAGCUUGCAAUUUGGUUUUGGGUCUCUUUUUGAUGCACUUUUCGGUUAACAAGUCAACAUCAAUUUCCUUUGCUGUAAAAAGGUAAGAGGAAGGUGGCUUCAAUUUCGGUUGAAGUGUUUAUAGCCUUUUAUCUCUGCAGCCGGGGAGAUUGAGGUCUGCAGCGUAGAUCCUUCGGGGCUAGAUACAUUUAUGCUAAGUUAUAGCUUUUCAUAGACAACUUGUUGACUAUGUUUAGUCAUGUAGCUUACUCGUAAGUGCUAUUUUACCUACGCUUAGGAUGUUGAGCGCAUGUCUCUCUCU